UACGUAGGGUGCAAGCGUUGUCCGGAAUUAUUGGGCGUAAAGAGCUCGUAGGCGGUUUGUCACGUCGCUGUGAAACCCUGGGGCUCAACCCCGGGCCUGCAGCCGAUACGGGCUGACUAGAAUUCGGUAGGGGAGUCUGGAAUUCCUGGUGUAGCGGUGAAAUGCAUAGAUAUCGUCAAGAACACCGAUAGCGAAGGCAGCUUACUGGGCUGUAACUGACGCUGAUGCACGAAAGUGUGGGGAUCAAACAGG
rnacentral:rRNA from 1 species